GACGAACGCUGGCGGCGUGCCUAAUACAUGCAAGUCGAGCGAAUCGAUGGGAGCUUGCUCCCUGAGAUUAGCGGCGGACGGGUGAGUAACACGUGGGCAACCUGCCUAUAAGACUGGGAUAACUUCGGGAAACCGGAGCUAAUACCGGAUACGUUCUUUUCUCGCAUGAGAGAAGAUGGAAAGACGGUUUACGCUGUCACUUAUAGAUGGGCCCGCGGCGCAUGCGCUAGUUGGUGGGGUAAUGGCUCACCAAGGCGACGAUGCGUAGCCGACCUGAGAGGGUGAUCGGCCACACUGGGACUGAGACACGGCCCAGACUCCUACGGGAGGCAGCAGUAGGGAAUCUUCCGCAAUGGACGAAAGUCUGACGGAGCAACGCCGCGUGAACGAAGAAGGCCUUCGGGUCGUAAAGUUCUGUUGUUAGGGAAGAACAAGUACCAGAGUAACUGCUGGUACCUUGACGGUACCUAACCAGAAAGCCACGGCUAACUACGUGCCAGCCGCCGCAGUAAUAC
rnacentral:rRNA from 1 species